rnacentral:misc_RNA from 1 species
AUUGGUAUGAGAAGCUUCCGGGAACUUCCUGUGCAGGGUGCAAGCCCUUAACACCGGGAUCUUCUGGCAAAUUUUGGAGGGAGGGUCUUCGGACCCUCUUUUUUUUUAUUUUUUU